rnacentral:snRNA from 1 species
GUGCUUGCUUCAGCUGCACAUGGACUAAAAUUGGAAGCACACAGAGAAGAUCGGCAUGGUCGCUGCAUGAGGAUGACACAGAAAUCAGAAGCACGCAACUUUUUU